rnacentral:rRNA from 1 species
AGUAAAAGUCGUAACAAGGUCUCCGUAGGUGAACCUACGGAGGGAUCAUUACAAGUGACCCCGGUCUAACCACCGGGAUGUUCAUAACCCUUUGUUGUCCGACUCUGUUGCCUCCGGGGCGACCCUGCCUUCGGGCGGGGGCUCCGGGUGGACACUUCAAACUCUUGCGUAACUUUGCAGUCUGAGUAAACUUAAUUAAUAAAUUAAAACUUUUAACAACGGAUCUCUUGGUUCUGGCAUCGAUGAAGAACGCAGCGAAAUGCGAUAAGUAAUGUGAAUUGCAGAAUUCAGUGAAUCAUCGAAUCUUUGAACGCACAUUGCGCCCCCUGGUAUUCCGGGGGGCAUGCCUGUUCGAGCGUCAUUUCACCACUCAAGCCUCGCUUGGUAUUGGGCAACGCGGUCCGCCGCGUGCCUCAAAUCGACCGGCUGGGUCUUCUGUCCCCUAAGCGUUGUGGAAACUAUUCGCUAAAGGGUGUUCGGGAGGCUACGCCGUAAAACAACCCCAUUUCUAAGGUUGACCUCGGAUCAGGUAGGGAUACCCGCUGAACUUAAGCAUAUCAAUAAGCGGAGGAAAAGAAACCAACAGGGAUUGCCCCAGUAACG